rnacentral:rRNA from 2 species
UUAAGCGACUAAGCGUACACGGUGGAUGCCCUGGCAGUCAGAGGCGAUGAAGGGCGUGCUAAUCUGCGAUAAGCGCCGGUAAGGUGAUAUGAACCGUUAUAACCGGCGAUACCCGAAUGGGGAAACCCAGUGUGAUUCGUCACACUAUCAUUAACUGAAUCCAUAGGUUAAUGAGGCGAACCGGGGGAACUGAAACAUCUAAGUACCCCGAGGAAAAGAAAUCAACCGAGAUUCCCCCAGUAGCGGCGAGCGAACGGGGAGGAGCCCAGAGCCUGAAUCAGCAUGUGUGUUAGUGGAAGCGUCUGGAAAGGCGCGCGAUACAGGGUGACAGCCCCGUACACAAAAGCGCAUGUGCUGUGAGCUCGAUGAGUAGGGCGGGACACGUGGUAUCCUGUCUGAAUAUGGGGGGACCAUCCUCCAAGGCUAAAUACUCCUGACUGACCGAUAGUGAACCAGUACCGUGAGGGAAAGGCGAAAAGAACCCCGGCGAGGGGAGUGAAAAAGAACCUGAAACCGUGUACGUACAAGCAGUGGGAGCCCCACCACUAAGCCAGUGGUGAACUCCACAUACGCAUCCUUUGCUGAAGGCAAUGGUUAACGGAGCGAAAGCGACGUUCAACCGCAAAAGAAGCAGAGGGGGCUUAGUGGUGGGGUGACUGCGUACCUUUUGUAUAAUGGGUCAGCGACUUAUAUUCUGUAGCAAGGUUAACCGAAUAGGGGAGCCGUAGGGAAACCGAGUCUUAACCGGGCGUUAAGUUGCAGGGUAUAGACCCGAAACCCGGUGAUCUAGCCAUGGGCAGGUUGAAGGUUGGGUAACACUAACUGGAGGACCGAACCGACUAAUGUUGAAAAAUUAGCGGAUGACCUGUGGCUGGGGGUGAAAGGCCAAUCAAACCGGGAGAUAGCUGGUUCUCCCCGAAAGCUAUUUAGGUAGCGCCUCGUGAAUUCAUCUCCGGGGGUAGAGCACUGUUUCGGCUAGGGGGCCAUCCCGGCUUACCAACCCGAUGCAAACUGCGAAUACCGGAGAAUGUUAUCACGGGAGACACACGGCGGGUGCUAACGUCCGUCGUGAAGAGGGAAACAACCCAGACCGCCAGCUAAGGUCCCAAAGUCAUGGUUAAGUGGGAAACGAUGUGGGAAGGCCCAGACAGCCAGGAUGUUGGCUUAGAAGCAGCCAUCAUUUAAAGAAAGCGUAAUAGCUCACUGGUCGAGUCGGCCUGCGCGGAAGAUGUAACGGGGCUAAACCAUGCACCGAAGCUGCGGCAGCGACACUCAGGUGUUGUUGGGUAGGGGAGCGUUCUGUAAGCCUGUGAAGGUGGCCUGUGAGGGUUGCUGGAGGUAUCAGAAGUGCGAAUGCUGACAUAAGUAACGAUAAAGCGGGUGAAAAGCCCGCUCGCCGGAAGACCAAGGGUUCCUGUCCAACGUUAAUCGGGGCAGGGUGAGUCGACCCCUAAGGCGAGGCCGAAAGGCGUAGUCGAUGGGAAACAGGUUAAUAUUCCUGUACUUGGUGUUACUGCGAAGGGGGGACGGAGAAGGCUAUGUUGGCCGGGCGACGGUUGUCCCGGUUUAAGCGUGUAGGUGUGUGUUCCAGGUAAAUCCGGUUCACUUUAACACUGAGGCGUGACGACGAGGCACUACGGUGCUGAAGCAACAAAUGCCCUGCUUCCAGGAAAAGCCUCUAAGCAUCAGGUAACAUCAAAUCGUACCCCAAACCGACACAGGUGGUCAGGUAGAGAAUACCAAGGCGCUUGAGAGAACUCGGGUGAAGGAACUAGGCAAAAUGGUGCCGUAACUUCGGGAGAAGGCACGCUGACACGUAGGUGAAGUGAUUUACUCAUGGAGCUGAAGUCAGUCGAAGAUACCAGCUGGCUGCAACUGUUUAUUAAAAACACAGCACUGUGCAAACACGAAAGUGGACGUAUACGGUGUGACGCCUGCCCGGUGCCGGAAGGUUAAUUGAUGGGGUCAGCGCAAGCGAAGCUCCUGAUCGAAGCCCCGGUAAACGGCGGCCGUAACUAUAACGGUCCUAAGGUAGCGAAAUUCCUUGUCGGGUAAGUUCCGACCUGCACGAAUGGCGUAAUGAUGGCCAGGCUGUCUCCACCCGAGACUCAGUGAAAUUGAACUCGCUGUGAAGAUGCAGUGUACCCGCGGCAAGACGGAAAGACCCCGUGAACCUUUACUAUAGCUUGACACUGAACAUUGAGCCUUGAUGUGUAGGAUAGGUGGGAGGCUUUGAAGCGUGGACGCCAGUCUGCGUGGAGCCGACCUUGAAAUACCACCCUUUAAUGUUUGAUGUUCUAACGUGGACCCGUAAUCCGGGUUGCGGACAGUGUCUGGUGGGUAGUUUGACUGGGGCGGUCUCCUCCUAAAGAGUAACGGAGGAGCACGAAGGUUGGCUAAUCCUGGUCGGACAUCAGGAGGUUAGUGCAAUGGCAUAAGCCAGCUUGACUGCGAGCGUGACGGCGCGAGCAGGUGCGAAAGCAGGUCAUAGUGAUCCGGUGGUUCUGAAUGGAAGGGCCAUCGCUCAACGGAUAAAAGGUACUCCGGGGAUAACAGGCUGAUACCGCCCAAGAGUUCAUAUCGACGGCGGUGUUUGGCACCUCGAUGUCGGCUCAUCACAUCCUGGGGCUGAAGUAGGUCCCAAGGGUAUGGCUGUUCGCCAUUUAAAGUGGUACGCGAGCUGGGUUUAGAACGUCGUGAGACAGUUCGGUCCCUAUCUGCCGUGGGCGCUGGAGAACUGAGGGGGGCUGCUCCUAGUACGAGAGGACCGGAGUGGACGCAUCACUGGUGUUCGGGUUGUCAUGCCAAUGGCACUGCCCGGUAGCUAAAUGCGGAAGAGAUAAGUGCUGAAAGCAUCUAAGCACGAAACUUGCCCCGAGAUGAGUUCUCCCUGAGACUUAGAGUCUCCUGAAGGAACGUUGAAGACGACGACGUUGAUAGGCCGGGUGUGUAAGCGCAGCGAUGCGUUGAGCUAACCGGUACUAAUGAACCGUGAGGCUUAACCUU